AAAGCUUCCUCAGAUACACUGCAGGCAAUGCUGAAGGGGUUGCUGGAGGAGGAGCCAUCAACUGGGCACCUCCUCUUCAUACUGGAGCACAUUAACUUCUGGGUCAAAUCCAGAGAUCCCAAGGAGAAAGCCAGGGCUCAGAAAAUCAGCACAGCCCUCCUCCAACAUGCGGUGCUCUCCCUACGUUUUGAUGUGACAGAAGUGAAGACCAAAAUUAUGAAGGAGAUCCUCAAAUUAGAAACAUGCAUGGAGGUGAC